rnacentral:rRNA from 1 species
UACAGAGGGGGCAAGCGUUAUUCGGAAUUAUUGGGCGUAAAGCGCGCGCAGGCGGUUUCUUAAGUCUGAUGUGAAAGCCCACGGCUCAACCGUGGAGGGUCAUUGGAAACUGGGGAACUUGAGUGCAGAAGAGAAAAGCGGAAUUCCACGUGUAGCGGUGAAAUGCGUAGAGAUGUGGAGGAACACCAGUGGCGAAGGCGGCUUUUUGGUCUGUAACUGACGCUAAGGCGCGAAAGCGUGGGGAGCAAACAGG